UUUUUUGGCGGCUCGAGCGGGGAGCCGCAAGGCUCGCCGGUUCUCCUCCUGGACUGCCCGGUCUGCUAACCCGUUCGAGUCGCCGCCUCC
rnacentral:antisense_RNA from 1 species